rnacentral:piRNA from 1 species
UGGAUUCUCUUGCUCCUCCUUUAUGCC